rnacentral:rRNA from 1 species
AUUGAACGCUGGCGGCAGGCCUAACACAUGCAAGUCGAAUGGUAACAGGAAACAGCUUGCUGUUUCGCUGACGAGUGGCGGACGGGUGAGUAAUGUCUGGGAAACUGCCUGAUGGAGGGGGAUAACUACUGGAAACGGUAGCUAAUACCGCAUAACGUCGCAAGACCAAAGAGGGGGACCUUCUGGCCUCUUGCCAUCAGAUGUGCCCAGAUGGGAUUAGCUAGUAGGUGGGGUAACGGCUCACCUAGGCGACGAUCCCUAGCUGGUCUGAGAGGAUGACCAGCCACACGGGAACUGAGACACGGUCCAGACUCCUACGGGAGGCAGCAGUGGGGAAUAUUGCACAAGGGGCGAAAGCCUGAUGAAGCCAGGCCGCGUGUAUGAAGAAGGCCGUCGGGUUGUAAAGUACUUUCAGCGGGGAGGAAGGGAGUAAAGUUAAUACCUUUGCUCAUUGACGUUACCCGCAGAAGAAGCACCGGCUAACUCCGUG